GACGAACGCUGGCGGCGCGCUUAACACAUGCAAGUCGAACGGAAAGGCCUGCUUUCCCUUGUGGAUUGCGGGUACUCGCGUGGCGAAUGGGUGAGUAACACGUGAGUGAUCUGCCCCCAACUUGGGUAUAAGCCUGGGAAACUGGGUCUAAUUCCCGAUAGGACUGCAGGGUGGUGCCUGUGGUGGAAAACGAUUUUCUAGUGGUUGGGGAUGAGCUCGCGGCCUAUCAGCUUGUUGGUGGGGUAAUGGCCUACCAAGGCGGCGACGGGUAGCCGGCCUGAGAGGGGGGACGGCCACAUUGGGACUGAGAUACGGCCCAGACUCCGACGGGAGGCAGCAGUGGGGAAUAUUGCACAAUGGGCGGAAGCCUGAUGCAGCGACGCCGCGUGGGGGAUGACGGCCUUCGGGUGGUAAACUCCUUUCGACCGCGAGGAAGCCACCUGGUUGGAAGGGUGGUGACGGUAGUGGUAGAAGAAGCACCGGCUAACUACGUG
rnacentral:rRNA from 1 species